GCUGCUCAGAAAUGCACACUGCGACUGGUGAGCAGUAGGUGAUGUUUAUCAAAGGAUAAGCGGCUAAGAUGUAGAA
rnacentral:ribozyme from 19 species